AUUUCGGUCCUGCGCAAUAAAAACCCGUGAACCGUGUCAGGUUGGGAACAAAGCAGCACUAAGCGGGAUCUUUUAUGUGACGCAGGGAUUCCGGGACCGA
rnacentral:SRP_RNA from 1 species